GAUGAACGCUGGCGGCGUGCCUAAUACAUGCAAGUCGAGCGAACAGACGAUGAGCUUGCGCCUCUGACGUUAGCGGCGGACGGGUGAGUAACGCGUGGAUAACCUACCUGUAUGACGGGGAUAACUUCGGGAAUCCGGAGCUAAUACCGGAGAAUAUAUUGAACCGCAUUGUUCAAUGGUGAAAGACGGUUUUGCUGUCACUUAUAGAUGGAUCCGCGCCGCAUUAGCUAGUUGGUAAGGUAACGGGUUACCAAGGCAAGGAUGCGUAGCCGACGUGACAGGGUGAUCGGCCACACUGGAACUGAGACACGGACCAGACGCCUACGGGAGGCAGCAGUAGGGAAUCUUCCGCAAUGGGCGAAAGCCUGACGGAGCAACGCCGCGUGAGUGAUGAAGGUCUUCGGAUCGUAAAACUCUGUUAUUAGGGAAGAACAAAUGUGUAAGUAACUAUGCACGUCGUGACGGUACCUAAUCAGAAAGCCACGGCUAACUACGUG
rnacentral:rRNA from 1 species